GAGACAGCAGUAGCCGCGGGAAAACGAACCGUGCGAACGUUAUUCGGAAUCACUGGGCUUAAAGCGCGUGUAGGCGGGAGGGCACGUCCGUCGCUGAAAUCCCCCGGCUCAACCGGGGAACGGGCGCGGAUACGACUCUUCUGGAGGAACGUAGGGGGACCUGGAACUUCCGGUGGAGCGGUGAAAUGCGUUGAGAUCGGAAGGAACGCCCGUGGCGAAAGCGAGGUCCUGGACGUUUACUGACGCUGAGACGCGAAAGCCAGGGGAGCGAACGGGAUUAGAUACCCCAGUAGUCCCUGUCUCUUAUA
rnacentral:rRNA from 1 species